rnacentral:lncRNA from 1 species
GAUGAACAAUGUGAUAAUGCUACUAAUAACAUUAAGUAUUUAAUUUUGAAUUGUUUUAUUACAAUUUAAUGGCAAACUUCAUGAAAGUCUGAACUUAAACUACAAAAUUAGCCAGGUGUGAUGGUGCAUGCCUGUAAUCCCAGCUACUUGGGAGACUGAGGCAGAAGAAUGGCUUCAACCUGGAAGGCAGAGGUUGCAGUGAGCUGAGAUGGCU